GUUCGAGCGUCAUUACACCCCUCACGCUCUGCGUGGUAUUGGGCUCGCCCUAUAAGGCUUGCCUCAAAGUCAGUGGCGGCACCGUGUGACCCCUAAGCGUAGUAAUACUCGUCGCUUCUGGGCGUCUGCGGCAGCUUGCCAGUAACCCCCAACUUCUAAAGGUUGACCUCGGAUCAGGUAGGGAUACCCGCUGAACUUAA
rnacentral:misc_RNA from 1 species